rnacentral:misc_RNA from 1 species
AAACCCUCAAGCUCAGCUUGGUGUUGGGCGCCUGUCCCCCCAGGGGGACUCGCCUCAAAUGCAUUGGCAGCCGGUACGUUGGCUUCGAGCGCAGCAGAAAAGCGCCUGGCGUCUGACAGUACGGGCUCUCCAGUAAGCCUCUUCUAUA